GAUGAACGCUAGCGAUAGGCUUAACACAUGCAAGUCGAGGGGCAGCGAGGGUAGCAAUACCUGUCGGCGACCGGCGCACGGGUGAGUAACGCGUAUGUAACCUGCCCGCAACAGGGGGAUAACCCGGCGAAAGUCGGACUAAUACCGCAUAAAACAGGGGUCCCGCAUGGGAAUAUUUGUUAAAGAUUUAUCGGUUGCGGAUGGGCAUGCGUACCAUUAGGUAGUUGGUGAGGUAGCGGCUCACCAAGCCUUCGAUGGUUAGGGGUUCUGAGAGGAAGGUCCCCCACACUGGUACUGAGACACGGACCAGACUCCUACGGGAGGCAGCAGUGAGGAAUAGUGAUCAAUGGGCGAGAGCCUGAACCAGCCAAGUCGCGUGAAGGAUGACUGCCCUAUGGGUUGUAAACUUCUUUUACAAGGGAAUAAAAUGAGAUACGUGUAUUUUAUUGCAUGUACCUUGGGAAUAAGCAUCGGCUAACUCCGUG
rnacentral:rRNA from 1 species